CGGCGCACGGGUGAGUAACGCGUAUGCAACCUACCCAUAUCUGGGGGAUAACCCGGAGAAAUUCGGAUUAACACCGCAAACACUAUGUAAAGGCAUCUUUAUACAGUUAAAUAUUUAUAGAAUAUGGAUGGGCAUGCGCCUGAUUAGUUAGUUGGUGAGGUAAUGGCUCACCAAGACAACGAUCAGUAGGGGUUCUGAGAGGAAGGUCCCCCACACUGGUACUGAGACACGGACCAGACUCCUACGGGAGGCAGCAGUGAGGAAUAUUGGUCAAUGGGCGAGAGCCUGAACCAGCCAAGUCGCGUGAAGGAAGACGGCCCUAUGGGUUGUAAACUUCUUUUGUAGGGGGGUAAAGUGAUCUACGUGUAGAUUAUUGCAAGUACCCUACGAAUAAGGAUCGGCUAACUCCGUGCCAGCAGCCGCGGUAAUACGGAGGAUCCGAGCGUUAUCCGGAUUUAUUGGGUUUAAAGGGUGCGUAGGCGGGGAUUUAAGUCAGUGGUGAAAGUUUGCAGCUUAACUGUAAAAUUGCCAUUGAAACUGAAUUUCUUGAGUACAAAUGAGGUAGGCGGAAUGUGUUGUGUAGCGGUGAAAUGCAUAGAUAUAACACAGAACACCGAUGCGAAGGCAGCUUACUGGGAUGUAACUGACGCUGAGGCACGAAAGCGUGGGGAUCAAACAGGAUUAGAUACCCUGGUAGUCCACGCUGUAAACUAUGAAUACUAACUGUAUGCGAUAUACUGUAUGUGGUACAGCGAAAGCGUUAAGUGUUCCACCUGGGGAGUACGUUGGCAACAAUGAAACUCAAGGAAUUGACGGGGGCCCGCACAAGCGGAGGAACAUGUGGUUUAAUUCG
rnacentral:rRNA from 1 species